rnacentral:rRNA from 1 species
AGCGGCAGACGGGUGAGUAACGCGUGGGAACGUACCUUUUGGUUCGGAACAACACAGGGAAACUUGUGCUAAUACCGGAUAAGCCCUUACGGGGAAAGAUUUAUCGCCGAAAGAUCGGCCCGCGUCUGAUUAGCUAGUUGGUGAGGUAAUGGCUCACCAAGGCGACGAUCAGUAGCUGGUCUGAGAGGAUGAUCAGCCACAUUGGGACUGAGACACGGCCCAAACUCCUACGGGAGGCAGCAGUGGGGAAUAUUGGACAAUGGGGGCAACCCUGAUCCAGCCAUGCCGCGUGAGUGAUGAAGGCCCUAGGGUUGUAAAGCUCUUUUGUGCGGGAAGAUAAUGACGGUACCGCAAGAAUAAGCCCCGGCUAACUUCGUGCCAGCAGCCGCGGUAAUACGAAGGGGGCUAGCGUUGCUCGGAAUCACUGGGCGUAAAGGGUGCGUAGGCGGGUCUUUAAGUCAGGGGUGAAAUCCUGGAGCUCAACUCCAGAACUGCCUUUGAUACUGAGGAUCUUGAGUUCGGGAGAGGUGAGUGGAACUGCGAGUGUAGAGGUGAAAUUCGUAGAUAUUCGCAAGAACACCAGUGGCGAAGGCGGCUCACUGGCCCGAUACUGACGCUGAGGCACGAAAGCGUGGGGAGCAAACAGGAUUAGAUACCCUGGUAGUCCACGCCGUAACGAUGAAUGCCAGCCGUUAGUGGGUUUACUCACUAGUGGCGCAGCUAACGCUUUAAGCAUUCCGCCUGGGGAGUACGGUCGCAAGAUUAAAACUCAAAGGAAUUGACGGGGGNCCGCACAAGCGGUGGAGCAUGUGGUUUAAUUCGNCGCAACGCGCAGAACCUUACCAGCCCUUGACAUGUCCAGGACCGGUCGCAGAGAUGUGACCUUCUCUUCGGAGCCUGGAGCACAGGUGCUGCAUGGCUGUCGUCAGCUCGUGUCGUGAGAUGUUGGGUUAAGUCCCGCAACGAGCGCAACCCCCGUCCUUAGUUGCUACCAUUUAGUUGAGCACUCUAAGGAGACUGCCGGUGAUAAGCCGCGAGGAAGGUGGGGAUGACGUCAAGUCCUCAUGGCCCUUACGGGCUGGGCUACACACGUGCUACAAUGGCGGUGACAAUGGGAUGCUAAGGGGCGACCCUUCGCAAAUCUCAAAAAGCCGUCUCAGUUCGGAUUGGGCUCUGCAACUCGAGCCCAUGAAGUUGGAAUCGCUAGUAAUCGUGGAUCAGCACGCCACGGUGAAUACGUUCCCGGGCCUUGUACACACCGCCCGUCACACCAUGGGAGUUGGUUUUACCUGAAGACGGUGCGCUUANUCGCAAGGGAGGCAGCCG